rnacentral:lncRNA from 1 species
UUUUAGUUGAAUUUACAAAAAUAUGUGAAUUAAAAUAAUGAUAAGUGCUAUGAAUAAGAUAUUAAUUUAUGCAUUAUUUGGCACUUAUCACACCCCCCAACCUACAUUUUGCUAGUCCUCGAGCAAAAUAAAAGCUAACUCACUUUCGCAGGAAUCGCGAUUGCAUUUACCGUAUGCAAUAAGGCUUUAAACCCCUAGGUGGCCCUAGUGGACGAGUUUUGUCUCGUGAGGGUUUCCGGCUCAGAUACCCACAAACUGCUGUCGAAAGAAUUUAUUUUAUUGUUUUAUAAAAUCUAAUUUCAAAUGCAUAAGUGCCAAUAAUUUCAAAAGCACACAAAGUUUUAAUUACUAAGUCAGCCCAAAUCCUAGGUCAGUAUGCAACUUAAGUUGAAGUCAUUAAGUUUCUGUUAGAGAGUUGUAAGGCUAAUUUAUACUUGGGUGCUCGGUGAUGUCUGGACCAUACACAAGCUAAGGCUUUAGAUUCUCCAAAAUACUGCUAAAACUAGUAGUUUCCAAGAAUUGGUC